rnacentral:rRNA from 1 species
AAUGAACGCUGGCGGCAUGCCUAACACAUGCAAGUCGAGCGAACGCUUCGGGUCUAGUCCUGCAUGGGUGCGUGACCCGUGGGGUCAUGCCCAUGGGUUUGGCAUAACUCCCCGAAUGGGGUGCUAAUACCGGAUCAUGUCUUCGGACCAAAGAUUUAUCGCAUUUGGAUGGGCCUGCGUUGGAUUAGCUAGUUGUUAGGGUAAAAGCCUACCACGGGGUGGAUCCAUAGAUGGGUAGAGAGGAUGAUCAGCCACACUGGGAUUGAGACACGGCCCGGACUCUUACGGGAGGGAGCAAUGGGGAAUAUUGGACAGCGGGCGAAAUGCUGAUCCAGUAAGGACGGGUAAGUGAUGAAGGUCGGAGGGAAGUAAAGCUCUUUUACCCGGGAUGAUAAUGACAGUACCGAGAGAAUAAGCUCCGGCUAACUCCGUG